rnacentral:lncRNA from 1 species
GAUAUAUAUAUACAUCAUGGCAGCAACUAUGAAAAUAUCAGUAGCUAUUUUUCUCUUUUUUGGGCUACUCUUGAUUAUUCCUCUCUUUGCUCGCCCUCUAGACAUGUCUAUCAUAUCCGUGGAUUCAUCAAAACCAGUACCUCGACUCCUAAUGGAGUUCUCUAAGACCACAAAGCCGUCUACCGGAAAAUUGCAUCCCAAACAAACUGAGACAAACACCACCACCACAGCCAAUAGCACCACCACAUUUACUACAAAUGGAAACUUUCAGGCGGCUGCGCAUGAAGUUCCUAGCGGUCCAAAUCCGGAGUCUAACAAAUAAUAAGCAAAAGGCAUCAUCGAUUAUUGCCUAUCUUUUAUUUUAUUUGUUCGCUUUUUUCUUUUGGAUUAUCUAUAAUUAACCUAAUAUAGUAGUAGAAUGCAUGUAUAUGUUGCAUGCAUGGAUAGAUGAUUAUGCAAGAAUUAGGCAACAUUUUUGCUUUUGGGGUUGCAGUUUCUUCCGUGCCAAAGUUGUUUCCCGUUGGGAUUGAUUUGAAAGUGCAGAUUUUGGGUGUUUCCAAUGCCAAAAGCUUUCUUGGACAUAAUAUAGCCAUUUUAGGAGGGUUGUAAUAAGGCUUUUAGCAUAUUUUUUUUGCAGUUACAAUGUUGAUCUUGAUGGUAUGUAAUUCUGUUGUGGCCUUGUCUAUUCCUUUUGGACUUCCACAUUACGUACGAUUUUAAAUAAUUUUAAUAAAAUUUUGACUUUGUCAAUCAAAUUACUAGUAUUACUCAUAUAUAUAUAUCAUCAAAUAUGUAAUCUUACCAUAAAACAAAGAAAAUUUUGUCAUUUUGUUAUUGUAGACUUAAUGUGCGAUAAUUUGGUAGUCACACAUAAAACUCCAUCUGCUUCCUCACAAAGAGCAAUGAUCCUCAUCAUGAACCACAAAAAAACUCUAUAUAGGAUCCUCUCCAUUCUAUGGAAAAACUAGCAACAUUUUAAUUUUUUUUAAAUUCAUUUAAUUUCGAGUUUCUAGGCAACAUAGAAAGAUUUGAAGUCAAAUAUGGUCUUACCUUCAUGGCAGUGGUGUCUGACAAUUUUCUCAGUAACAAGCUUUAGCCCUGCGCUUCAUAAAUUUUUUCCGGCAAGUUCUGUGCUCCAUAAAUUAUUACUGAGUAGGCCAUGGGU